rnacentral:rRNA from 1 species
GCACCAGACUCCUACGGGAGGCAGCAGUGGGGAAUAUUGCACAAUGGGGGAAACCCUGAUGCAGCGACGCCGCGUGAGUGAAGAAGUAUUUCGGUAUGUAAAUCUCUAUCAGCAGGGAAGAAAAUGACGGUACCUGAUUAAGAAGCCCCGGCUAACUACGUGCCAGCAGCCGCGGUAAUACGUAGGGGGCAAGCGUUAUCCGGAUUUACUGGGUGUAAAGGGAGCGUAAACGGCAGCACAAGUCUGGAGUGAAGUGCCGGGGCUUAACCCCGGAACUGCUUUGGAAACUGUGCAGCUAGAGUGCAGGAGAGGUAAGUGGAAUUCCUAGUGUAGCGGUGAAAUGCGUAGAUAUUAGGAGGAACACCAGUGGCGAAGGCGGCUUACUGGACUGUAACUGACGUUGAGGCUCGAAAGCGUGGGGAGCAAACAGGAUUAGAUACCCGGGUAGU